GCAGGUAGAGCUCAGUGGUAGAGAGCGUGCCUAGCAAGCAUGAGGUCCUGGGUUCAAUCCCCAGUACCUCCA
rfam:Camelus ferus unplaced genomic scaffold scaffold465, whole genome shotgun sequence.